rnacentral:rRNA from 1 species
GAUGAACGCUGGCGGCGUGCCUAAUACAUGCAAGUCGAGCGAACGGACGAGAAGCUUGCUUCUCUGAUGUUAGCGGCGGACGGGUGAGUAACACGUGGAUAACCUACCUAUAAGACUGGGAUAACUUCGGGAAACCGGAGCUAAUACCGGAUAAUAUUUUGAGCCGCAUGGUUCAAAAGUGAAAGACGGUCUUGCUGUCACUUAUAGAUGGAUCCGCGCUGCAUUAGCUAGUUGGUAAGGUAACGGCUUACCAAGGCAACGAUGCAUAGCCGACCUGAGAGGGUGAUCGGCCACACUGGAACUGAGACACGGUCCAGACUCCUACGGGAGGCAGCAGUAGGGAAUCUUCCGCAAUGGGCGAAAGCAUGACGGAGCAGCGCCGAGUGAGUGAUGAAGGUCUUCGGAUCGUAAAACUCUGUUAUUAGGGAAGAACAUAUGUGUAAGUAACUGUGCACAUCUUGACGGUACCUAAUCAGAAAGCCACGGCUAACUACGUG